CCUACGGGAGACAGCAGUGGGGAAUAUUGGACAAUGGGGGAAACCCUGAUCCAGCGACGCCGCGUGAGUGAAGAAGUAUUUCGGUACGUAAAGCUCUAUCAGCAGGAAAGAAAAUGACGGUACUUGACUAAGAAGCCCCGGCUAACGACGUGCCAGCAGCCGCGGUAAUACGUAGGGGGCAAGCGUUAUCCGGAUUUAUUGGGUGCAAAGGGAGCGUAGACGGCAGCGCAAGUCUGGAGUGAAAUGCCGGGGCCCAACCCCGGAUCUGCUCUGGAAACUGUGAAGCUGGAGUGCAGGAGAGGUAAGCGGAAUUCCUGGUGUAGCGGUGAAAUGCGUAGAUAUCAGGAGGAACACCGGCGGCGAAGGCAGCAUACCGGCGCCCAACUGACGCUGAAGCACGAAAGCGUGGGUAGCGAACAGGAUUAGAUACCCUAGUAGUC
rnacentral:rRNA from 1 species